AACCUGAAAUUUCUGCUACUGUGCUUCCAGCAGUUGUCAGGUCUCAAAAUAAACUUCGAUAAGAAUGAGGUAAUGGUUUUAGGCUAUUCCCCCUCCGAGAGGCAGAGUAUUGUUAACCGGCUCAACUGUCGGCUUGGUUCUUUCCCCACCACCUACCUGGGGAUCCCCAUUAGCGACUUUCCGCUCUCCGUGGCAGACCUGCGGCCCUUGGUGCUCAAGCUUCAGCACCGUAUUGAGCCAUGGCAAGGGCAAUGGUUGUCUAAGGCGGCUCGGACGAUCCUCAUCAACUCGUCCUUGUCCAGCCUCCUCCUGUUCAUCUUGAGUUUCUACAGUCUGCCCGAAAUGUUGCACCAUGAGAUCGGUUCAGUCCAGGCGCGCUUUUACUGGGUCGAUGAUGGUGAUAAGCAGAAAUACCAUAUGGUUUGUUGGACCGACAUCUGCAAACCUAGGGACCAAGGCGACCUCGGCAUCAUGUCCUCCAAACGCAUGAACCUGGCACUCCUAAUGAGGUGGCUCUGGCGCAUUGCAAAUGGCGAGGGUGGCAUGUGGUUGCAAAUCAUCUGA
rnacentral:rRNA from 1 species